rnacentral:rRNA from 1 species
UCGAGAAUUUUUCACAAUGGGCGAAAGCCUGAUGGAGCGACGCCGCGUGGGGGAUGAAGGGCUUCGGCCCGUAAACCCCUGUCAUUUGCGAACAAACCUUUCCACUUAAUACUUGGAGAGCUGAUUGUAGCGAAAGAGGAAGGGACGGCUAACUCUGUGCCAGCAGCCGCGGUAAUACAGAGGUCCCAAGCGUUGUUCGGAUUCACUGGGCGUAAAGGGUGCGUAGGUGGUCGGAUAAGUCUGAUGUGAAAUCUCCGAGCUCAACUCGGAAAUGGCAUUGGAUACUAUUUGGCUGGAGGGUUGGAGGGGGGACUGGAAUACUUGGUGUAGCAGUGAAAUGCGUAGAUAUCAAGUGGAACACCAGUGGCGAAGGCGAGUCCCUGGACAACUCCUGACACUGAGGCACGAAAGCUAGGGGAGCAAACAGGAUUAGAUACCCCCGUAGUCC